AUUGAACGCUGGCGGCAUGCCUUACACAUGCAAGUCGAACGGUAACAGGUCUUCGGACGCUGACGAGUGGCGAACGGGUGAGUAAUACAUCGGAACGUGCCCAGUCGUGGGGGAUAACUACUCGAAAGAGUAGCUAAUACCGCAUACGAUCUGAGGAUGAAAGCGGGGGACCUUCGGGCCUCGCGCGAUUGGAGCGGCCGAUGGAAGAUUAGGUAGUUGGUGGGAUAAAAGCUUACCAAGCCGAGGAUCUGUAGCUGGUCUGAGAGGACGACCAGCCACACUGGGACUGAGACACGGGCCAGACUCCUACGGGAGGCAGCAGUGGGGAAUUUUGGACAAUGGGCGAAAGCCUGAUCCAGCAAUGCCGCGUGCAGGAUGAAGGCCUUCGGGUUGUAAACUGCUUUUGUACGGAACGAAAAAGCUCCUUCUAAUACAGGGGGCCCGUGACGGUACCGUAAGAAUAAGCACCGGCUAACUACGUGCCAGCAGCCGCCGCAG
rnacentral:rRNA from 1 species